rnacentral:rRNA from 1 species
GAACCUGCCAGUCAUAUGCUUGUCUCAAAGACUAAGCCAUGCAUGUCUCAGUACAGGCCUACCCAAGGCGAAACCGCGAAUGGCUCAUUAAAUCAGCCCUGAUUUAUUUGAUGUUGUAACACCCUUACUUGGAUAACUGUGGCAAUUCUAGAGCUAAUACGUGCACCUGAGCUCCGACCCUGCCGUCAAGGCGGGGGAAGGGCGCUUUUAUUAGACCAAAAACCGAUCGGACUUCGGUCCGUCUCCCAAAACGUUUUAUGAUGACUCUGAAUAACUUAGCCGAGCGCUGAGGUCCUAGUACCGGCGCCGUAUCUUUCAAGUGUCUGCCUUAUCAGCUGUCGACUGUAGGCCAUACGCCUACAAUGGCUGUAACGGGUAACGGGGAAUCAGGGUUCGAUUCCGGAGAGGGAGCCUGAGAAACGGCUACCACAUCUAAGGAAGGCAGCAGGCACGCAAAUUACCCACUCCCGGCUCGGGGAGGUAGUGACGUAAAAUAACGAUGCGGGACUCUUCCGAGGCCUCGCAAUCGGAAUGAGU